UACGGGGGGGGUAAGCGUUGUUCGGAAUUACUGGGCGUAAAGGGCUCGUAGGCGGCCAACUAAGUCAGACGUGAAAUCCCUCAGCUUAACCGGGGAACUGCGUCUGAUACUGGAUGGCUUGAGGUUGGGAGAGGGAUGCGGAAUUCCAGGUGUAGCGGUGAAAUGCGUAGAUAUCUGGAGGAACACCGGUGGCGAAGGCGGCAUCCUGGAC
rnacentral:rRNA from 1 species